AGAAAAAUUCAAGAAAUGGUUAGUGCAUCCCGUUGAGAACGGGAGGGUCGUGGGUUCGAAUCCCGCUAUCCCGA
rnacentral:tRNA from 1 species